rfam:Schistosoma curassoni strain Dakar, Senegal genome assembly, scaffold: SCTD_scaffold0007515
AUCCAGCUGACGAGUCCCAAAUAGGACGAAAUGCGCAUCCUAGAU